GCUGGGCAUGAUGGCACAUGCCUGUAGUCCCCGCUACUCGGGAGGCUGAGGCUGGAGGGUCGCUUGAGAUCAGGAGUCCUGGGCUGUAGUGUGCUAUGCCGAUCAGGUGUCCACACUAAGUAUGGCAUCAAUAUGGUGACCUCCCGGGAGCAGGGGACCACCAGGUUGCCUAAGGAGGGGUGCAUCGGCCCAGGUCAGAAAUUGAGCAGGUCAAAACUCCCAUGGUGAUCGGUAGUGGAAUCGAACCUGUGAAUGGCCACUGCACUCCAGACCCCAUCUCCCAAAAUUAAAAA
rnacentral:SRP_RNA from 1 species